rnacentral:rRNA from 1 species
GAUGAACGCUAGCUACAGGCUUAACACAUGCAAGUCGAGGGGAACGACAUCGAAAGCUUGCUUUUGUAUGGGCGUCGACCGGCGCACGGGUGAGUAACGCGUAUCCAACCUGCCCGCCACUUGGGGAUAACCUUGCGAAAGUAAGACUAAUACCCAAUGAUAUCCCACGAAGGCAUCCGAAUGGGAUUAAAGAUUUAUCGGUGAUGGAUGGGGAUGCGUCUGAUUAGCUUGUUGGCGGGGUAACGGCCCACCAAGGCAACGAUCAGUAGGGGUUCUGAGAGGAAGGUCCCCCCACAUUGGAACUGAGACACGGUCCAAACUCCUACGGGAGGCAGCAGUGAGGAAUAUUGGUCAAUGGGCGAGAGCCUGAACCAGCCAAGUAGCGUGCAGGACGACGGCCCUAUGGGUUGUAAACUGCUUUUAUAAGGGAAUAAAGUGAGUCUCGUGAGACUUUUUGCAUGUACCUUAUGAAUAAGGACCGGCUAAUCCGUG